GAGCCCGUAGCUCAGCUGGUAGAGCACCUGACUUUUAAUCAGGUUGUCGUGGGUUCGAGCCCCACCGGGCUCA
rnacentral:tRNA from 1 species